rnacentral:rRNA from 1 species
AUUGAACGCUGGCGGCAUGCCUUACACAUGCAAGUCGAACGGUAACAGGUCUUCGGAUGCUGACGAGUGGCGAAAGGGUGAGUAAUACAUCGGAACGUGCCCGAUCGUGGGGGAUAACGGAGCGAAAGCUUUGCUAAUACCGGAUAAGAACUACGGAUGAAAGCAGGGGACCGCAAGGCCUUGCGCGACAGGAGCGGCCCAUGGCAGAUUAGGUAGUCGGUGGGUGAAAAGCUUACCAAGCCGACGAUCUGUAGCUGGUCUGAGAGGACGACCAGCCACACUGGGACUGAGACACGGCCCAGACUCCUACGGGAGGCAGCAGUGGGGAAUUUUGGACAAUGGGCGCAAGCCUGAUCCAGCAAUGCCGCGUGCAGGAUGAAGGCCUUCGGGUUGUAAACUGCUUUUGUACGGAACGAAAAGGCUCUGGUUAAUACCUGGGGCUCAUGACGGUACCGUAAGAAUAAGCACCGGCUAACUACGUGCCAGCCGCCGCGGUAACAC